rnacentral:rRNA from 1 species
AGUGAACGCUGGCGGCAGGCUUAACACAUGCAAGUCGAACGGGCAUCCUCGGAUGUUAGUGGUAGACGGGUGAGUACCACGUGGGAACGUACCCUUCGGUUCGGAAUAACUCAGGGUAACUUGAGUUCAUACCGGCUACGCUCUUUUGGGGUAAGGUUUACUGCCGAAGGAUUCGCUCGUGUCUGAUUAUCUUGCUGGCGCGGUAACGGCCUACCAAGGCGACGAACAGUAUCUGGGCUGAGAGGAUUAACAGAGACACUGGGGCUGAGACACGGCAGAGACUCCUACGGGAGGGAGCAGUGGGGAAUAGAGGAAAAUGGGCGCAAGGCUGAACCAGCCAUGACGCGUGAGUGAUGAAGGCAGUAAGGUAGUAAAGCUCAUUUAACCAGGACGAUAAUGACGGUACCGGAAGAAUAAGCCCCGGCUAACUUCGUG